AGUGAGUGUUGUGUUCAUUGGCGGCACAUAUUUUUCCGGCAAUAAAUCCACAUUACAUCAAGGUAAGAACAUUUUGCAUUUUUUUUUAAUUCAUUUGUAUAUAUUAUUAUAUAAUUUAUUUUGUUUUUGGGAAAAUGGAGAACCAAAUCCAAUUAGCAGAAGAACUGCAAAAACUUCAUUUUAAGUCCAUGAGUAUGGAUAUAAAUGAAGAUUUGUUAAAUUUGGAAAAACUCCUAGAUACUUUGGACAAAAAAUGGGCAGAGUUUCAACGAAACCAUUUAGAAUUGUCCAAAGAUCCCAAAAACAAAAAAGACAAUUAUUUUAAAACGGACGGGAGUUAACGACAUAGCCUCGCUCCGGGUCACACACACUCACAUACAUCUUAUCUCCUAAUAUACAUUCCGAACAAAGGCGAACUAUGUAUGUAAACCGAUAGAACUCGCUUUGACAUGCACUAUCAGUCGAACAAUAGAAAUGAACAUGCAUUAUCUAGAAAGGCAUUCUCAACAUGUAAACAACAAACAUCUGGCAAUGGAAUAAUCCACUGCGAUAACCAACUCCGCAUCUCAAGUAAUGGCAAGAUAGCAGAUAUCGAAUUACAACAAAGAAGUCGCAUGCAGAUAACAGCAGCCGCAUUUCAUUAGUAUAAAUAGCUGUAAGAUCUUAUAUUAAAAUUUAGUUCUUAAGAAUAUCAAUAAAGGCACGCAUUUCGGCGUAUAAAUAAAAUUGUUUAAAUUCUUGAACUCAUAUCGUGUAAACGAUAUUAACUCGC